rnacentral:tRNA from 1 species
GUUUAAAUAGUUUAGAAAAAAAUUUUGAUUUGUGGUGUCAAAGAUAUGAAGUAUCAUUUUAAAUC